rnacentral:rRNA from 1 species
GAGUUUUGAUCAUGGCUCAGGAUGAACGCUGGCGGCGUGCCUAAUACAUGCAAGUCGAACGAGUUCUGAUUAUUGAAAGGUGCUUGCAUCUUGAUUUAAUUUUGAACGAGUGGCGGACGGGUGAGUAACACGUGGGUAACCUGCCCUUAAGUGGGGGAUAACAUUUGGAAACAGAUGCUAAUACCGCAUAAAUCCAAGAACCGCAUGGUUCUUGGCUGAAAGAUGGCGUAAGCUAUCGCUUUUGGAUGGACCCGCGGCGUAUUAGCUAGUUGGUGAGGUAACGGCUCACCAAGGCAAUGAUACGUAGCCGAACUGAGAGGUUGAUCGGCCACAUUGGGACUGAGACACGGCCCAAACUCCUACGGGAGGCAGCAGUAGGGAAUCUUCCACAAUGGACGCAAGUCUGAUGGAGCAACGCCGCGUGAGUGAAGAAGGCUUUCGGGUCGUAAAACUCUGUUGUUGGAGAAGAAUGGUCGGCAGAGUAACUGUUGUCGGCGUGACGGUAUCCAACCAGAAAGCCACGGCUAACUACGUGCCAGCAGCCGCGGUAAUACGUAGGUGGCAAGCGUUAUCCGGAUUUAUUGGGCGUAAAGCGAGCGCAGGCGGUUUUUUAAGUCUGAUGUGAAAGCCCUCGGCUUAACCGAGGAAGUGCAUCGGAAACUGGGAAACUUGAGUGCAGAAGAGGACAGUGGAACUCCAUGUGUAGCGGUGAAAUGCGUAGAUAUAUGGAAGAACACCAGUGGCGAAGGCGGCUGUCUGGUCUGUAACUGACGCUGAGGCUCGAAAGCAUGGGUAGCGAACAGGAUUAGAUACCCUGGUAGUCCAUGCCGUAAACGAUGAAUGCUAGGUGUUGGAGGGUUUCCGCCCUUCAGUGCCGCAGCUAACGCAUUAAGCAUUCCGCCUGGGGAGUACGACCGCAAGGUUGAAACUCAAAGGAAUUGACGGGGGCCCGCACAAGCGGUGGAGCAUGUGGUUUAAUUCGAAGCAACGCGAAGAACCUUACCAGGUCUUGACAUCUUUUGAUCACCUGAGAGAUCAGGUUUCCCCUUCGGGGGCAAAAUGACAGGUGGUGCAUGGUUGUCGUCAGCUCGUGUCGUGAGAUGUUGGGUUAAGUCCCGCAACGAGCGCAACCCUUAUGACUAGUUGCCAGCAUUUAGUUGGGCACUCUAGUAAGACUGCCGGUGACAAACCGGAGGAAGGUGGGGAUGACGUCAAAUCAUCAUGCCCCUUAUGACCUGGGCUACACACGUGCUACAAUGGAUGGUACAACGAGUUGCGAGACCGCGAGGUCAAGCUAAUCUCUUAAAGCCAUUCUCAGUUCGGACUGUAGGCUGCAACUCGCCUACACGAAGUCGGAAUCGCUAGUAAUCGCGGAUCAGCACGCCGCGGUGAAUACGUUCCCGGGCCUUGUACACACCGCCCGUCACACCAUGAGAGUUUGUAACACCCGAAACCGGUGGCGUAACCCUUUUAGGGAGCGAGCCGUCUAAAGUGGGACAAAUGAUUAGGGUGAAGUCGU